rnacentral:lncRNA from 1 species
GUUCAUAUUGAGUGCUCUAGUUAUUUAUGGUAAUUAGAGUAGUAAACACUAGCGUAGACGUGGUGUCUAGGCUAUAAUUUACGUAAGUUGGCGUCCAAUCCCACGGAUAGUUGUGGUAGCCCCAAAGGUGAUAGCUCUGUUAGGUCUUUGUAUUCCACCACGUUUGGAUUGGUGUUUCGUAGAGCUUUUAGGCAGCUUUCUUCUAAUUACCUUCUUUCGAGUUUUUUUCAAGAGUUAGAAAGGACCUCCUGCUCCACAGCUAGUAUAGUAUUUGAUCCAUCAAUGAACUUAGAAAACUCUAGAAGGUUCCUCUCCACCUACUAGAAAUAUAUAUAUCUUUCAUCUCUUAUCUUCAUCCUUGGACAGUCUUCAUUCUCUAGUACGCUUCACGUUUCCCGUGGAAAUCGAUACUCUGAAAUACACCUAGAUUAAAGCUACAUCAGUAUCCGUGCGCUUGCGGAAUUUCUAUGUGGAGACUAGGCUUUUUGUCUAUCUUGAGUGAUUUCGUUAAAAAGUAUCAAUAAUAGUAUAACUUAUAAAUAUAUAAAUUUAAAAAGAAAAAAUAGAUGAAAUAAAAAACAAAAAGGAAGAAAAAUAGUAAUUUGAUCAACGUUCUCUCUUGCUUGCCGCGGUCGAACCUCGCGAACGACCAUGGAAUGGAAUUGAAUAUCCAGGGGGGCUUUAGCACGCAGGCGAUGAGAGAGCCCAAGGCAAUCGAGGUGCGGCCAAGCAGGCGGCACAAAUCGGUCUCAAAAUAGAGUUAGUAAUGAUGAACUAGGCAAAAAUACCUAAUAUAAUAAUUUUUGGAACAUAUUUAGUAAAAAUCACAAUCUUCGUCGAAAUUCAUGCAAACUACGGUAAAAAGUUGUCUAAAUUCAUCAAAAAAAUCACACAUGU